UACGGAGGGUGCAAGCGUUAUCCGGAUUCACUGGGUUUAAAGGGUGCGUAGGUGGGUUGGUAAGUCAGUGGUGAAAUCUCCGAGCUUAACUUGGAAACUGCCAUUGAUACUAUUAGUCUUGAAUACUGUGGAGGUUAGCGGAAUAUGUCAUGUAGCGGUGAAAUGCUUAGAUAUGACAUAGAACACCAAUUGCGAAGGCAGCUGGCUACACAAAUAUUGACACUGAGGCACGAAAGCGUGGGGAUCAAACAGG
rnacentral:rRNA from 1 species